CCUCCAGAAAGCCUGAGAAGGCAAGGCCAAGGGACACUGUUGAUGGAAAGGUGGCCCCUGCAUCUGGAUGGGCCCUGCUCAUGCUGCUGGGAAACCAGGAGCAGCUGUCAGUCACCCCUCCAGAGGCACUCCAGCCAGCAUGAGAAAUGCAACACUUACCCAGCAUUUCUUCCUCGCCCUCCAGGGAAAUGGACCUUGACAAGGGCUCUGAUCAGCCCCGUCACUACACUUUCAGAGGUUUUCCUUCAAUGAACUCCUUUUAUUAAGUAAAAAAGCAAGUCCAAAAUGUGGCACUAACAAGAGGAAUAAUUCAGAGAACUGAAGCAAUGUUCACUCAAAUACCUCACGCAAAAACAAAAAAAGAGUACCUUCCACAUGACAAGUCUCAGGGAACUGAAGCAAGAAGAAUUUUAUUUUUGCCUGCAGUAUCCAUUCAGUCCAAUUCUGUGAAUACUUACUGCACACCCAGUAAACCCCCAGUGCCACAUUUGGGGCCCUGGGAUCACCAAAGUGGGAGGCAGUUCCCCUCCACGCAGUCAGUAGCCCCAUGGAUGGAUUUGGGUGCACUCCUCAACCCCUGCUCUCUCUAAGAUAGAAACCCAGUUCCCUGCCCUGAAUUUUCCAUCGGCCACCUGCUCAUCCCACCUCGGCUGUAUGUUAACCUGUCACUUAGAUGAAGUGUCAUCAAAUAAUGUCUGCCACCUACUUAAUUUAGCAUCCUCCCAACUUCCCUGCAGAUUUUCUUUGGGCUUUGUUCGGGGAAUGCACUGCAGAUGGCUCAUGGUGAGGGAUUCUGUUUCACAGCAGCUGUUGUGCUCUGGGAUGCUGAACCGAGCCCCAUUCUAUGAGCUCUGACCAGGCUCCUGUACUCGUUAGACCACCUGAGGAGCUGCCCUAGCAAGAGCCUGCCAGUGUCACUGUGUGUUUGUCCUCGGGCUGCCUGGCUGCCGUGAACAUGGCCAGCCGGGCCCUGUGGCCUCAGGUGCUCACACAAUUACAGGGACAAGCAGAGGGCUCCACUGAUGCCUCCGAAGCCUUCUAACUCACCAGGUUCUUCCCUGCAUUCUGCCGGGUUCCGUCCUUGCUCUUCUCGUCUCAUUCUUCAUCCUCAUUCUUGGCGACCUCAUUCACCUCCUUAUCUUUAAGUACUACACAGCCUGGCCAUUCCUAAGUCUAUAUCUGCAACCCCCUCUCCUGGCUCUACCUGUGGGUGUCCUCUCUGACCACUUGCAUCAAGCAGUUUCACAAACCUUAUCAUCAUUAUAGCAGUGCCAGCCAUAUCCCGAAAGACACAAUCCCUAAUAUUAAAAUCUUGAAAGAUCAAAAUCCCCACAGAGCAAAAUCUCUAAAGUCUAAAUAAAAUUCCAAAAAUCACAAUCCCGAAGGAUUACAAUUCUGAAUGUUGAAAUCCUGAAAGCCGAAUUCUGGAGACGUGGUUAGUUGAGUUUUCUGUUUUGUGCAGGAUAGUUGCAAAACUAUUACCUUGUUGAUGUCCUUAUUUGGAAAUUAGGUGUAGUUUCGGGAGAUACGUAUGGGUGCCAAGUUGACAAG
rnacentral:lncRNA from 10 species